CAGAAGUUACGUGUUAUGAAUAAUAUAGGUUUAUAAGUCCUCUGCAGGUAGGUCGGGUAUUGAUACCGCGUGCGUGAAGCGAGUUUGAUUUCCACGUGGAUAACUGUGGUAAUUCUAGAGCUAAUACAUGCACCAAAGCUCCGAUCUCAUGACGAGCGCAUCUAUUAGACCAAAAACCAAUCGAGAAUAUUCGCCUCAAAACGAAUGCCUCGUAAAUUUGGUGACUCUGAAUAGCUUAGCUGAUCGCAUGGUCUCGCACCGGCGACGUAUCUAUCAAGUGUCUGCCUUAUCAACUUUCGAUGGUAGUUUAUAUGCCUACCAUGGUUGUAACGGGUAACGGAGAAUAAGGGUUCGACUCCGGAGAGGGAGCCUGAGAAACGGCUACCACAUCCAAGGAAGGCAGCAGGCGCGCAAAUUACCCACUCUCAGCACGAGGAGGUAGUGACGAAAAAUAACGAGACCGUUCUCUUCGAGGCCGGUUAUCGGAAUGAGUACAAUUUAAAGCCGUUAACGAGGAUCUAUGAGAGGGCAAGUCUGGUGCCAGCAGCCGCGGUAAUUCCAGCUCUCAAAGUGUAUAUCGGCAUUGCUGCGGUUAAAAAGCUCGUAGUUGGGAUUUAAGCUCGAUGACUCGGUCCAUCCAUAGGAUGAGAAACUGAGCUCAUCGGCUAUCAUCGGCUGGUUUUGUCUAGGUGGCUUUUAACGGUUGGCCUAGGCUGGGCUAGCAAGGUUUACUUUUGAAAAAAAUAAGAGGGCUCAACGCGGGGCUUAAUGCCCUCGAAAA
rnacentral:rRNA from 1 species